rnacentral:rRNA from 14 species
GUUGGGGACAGUGCCUGGUGGGUAGUUUAACUGGGGCGGUUGCCUCCUAAAGAGUAACGGAGGCGCCCAAAGGUUCCCUCAACCUGGUUGGCAAUCAGGUGUUGAGUGUAAGUGCACAAGGGAGCUUGACUGUGAGAGUGGCAGCUCGAGCAGGGACGAAAGUCGGGACUAGUGAUCCGGCACCUACUUGUGGAUGUGGUGUCGCUCAACGGAUAAAAGGUACCCCGGGGAUAACAGGCUGAUCUUCCCCAAGAGUCCAUAUCGACGGGAUGGUUUGGCACCUCGAUGUCGGCUCGUCGCAUCCCGG